rnacentral:rRNA from 1 species
CAUAGGUUAAUGAGGCGAACCGGGGGAACUGAAACAUCUAAGUACCCCGAGGAAAAGAAAUCAACCGAGAUUCCCCCAGUAGCGGCGAGCGAACGGGGAGCAGCCCAGAGCCUGAAUCAGUGUGUGUGUUAGUGGAAGCGUCUGGAAAGGCGCGCGAUACAGGGUGACAGCCCCGUACACAAAAAUGCACAUACUGUGAGCUCGAUGAGUAGGGCGGGACACGUGGUAUCCUGUCUGAAUAUGGGGGGACCAUCCUCCAAGGCUAAAUACUCCUGACUGACCGAUAGUGAACCAGUACCGUGAGGGAAAGGCGAAAAGAACCCCGGCGAGGGGAGUGAAAAAGAACCUGAAACCGUGUACGUACAAGCAGUGGGAGCACGCUUAGGCGUGUGACUGCGUACCUUUUGUAUAAUGGGUCAGCGACUUAUAUUCUGUAGCAAGGUUAACCGAAUAGGGGAGCCGAAGGGAAACCGAGUCUUAACUGGGCGUUAAGUUGCAGGGUAUAGACCCGAAACCCGGUGAUCUAGCCAUGGGCAGGUUGAAGGUUGGGUAACACUAACUGGAGGACCGAACCGACUAAUGUUGAAAAAUUAGCGGAUGACUUGUGGCUGGGGGUGAAAGGCCAAUCAAACCGGGAGAUAGCUGGUUCUCCCCGAAAGCUAUUUAGGUAGCGCCUCGUGAAUUCAUCUCCGGGGGUAGAGCACUGUUUCGGCAAGGGGGUCAUCCCGACUUACCAACCCGAUGCAAACUGCGAAUACCGGAGAAUGUUAUCACGGGAGACACACGGCGGGUGCUAACGUCCGUCGUGAAGAGGGAAACAACCCAGACCGCCAGCUAAGGUCCCAAAGUCAUGGUUAAGUGGGAAACGAUGUGGGAAGGCCCAGACAGCCAGGAUGUUGGCUUAGAAGCAGCCAUCAUUUAAAGAAAGCGUAAUAGCUCACUGGUCGAGUCGGCCUGCGCGGAAGAUGUAACGGGGCUAAACCAUGCACCGAAGCUGCGGCAGCGACGCUGAUGCGUUGUUGGGUAGGGGAGCGUUCUGUAAGCCUGUGAAGGUGUGCUGUGAGGCAUGCUGGAGGUAUCAGAAGUGCGAAUGCUGAC